GGGAGCUCUAAACUUGGGUCCCCAUAUGCCAUUAGGAAAACCACAAUACAAAUCAAGUAGUAAACAUAUGGAAAACUAUAAAAUUAAGAGAGAUGUAGUGGAAGAACAAGCCAGGACUAGUGAGACGGCUUAGCUGGUAAAGGUGCUUGUAGAACAAGCCUAAAGACCUGAGUUCAAUUUCUAGAAUCCAUGGUGGAAGAGAAGCCACUUCUAAAAGUUGUGCUCUUGUGUGCCUGCACUCACACAGAUCACAUGCACACCUAUGCGCACGCAUGUGCGUGUGCACACAUACACACACUCACACAAAUAAUUAAACUAAACUAAAAUAUAAAAGAUCAAAAGCCCAUGGCUUGGGAGAUCAUAGACUACUACAUGCUGUUAAACUGCUAACUAUAAUUACACCCAUGAAUUACUGCUGUUCUCAGCCUGCAGUGGGCAGCAGUUAUUACAGAGACUGGUAAGAGGUCAGAGUGUAGAGAAUGAGUGACAGUUGAGAGUUCAGCUCUAAAUGAGACAGCUACAUCACCCUUCCCACAGAGGCUCAGGGAGCAUUAUGGGGGAGGGGCAGGAAGUGUAAGAGCUGGAGGACGGGGAGAGAGGAGGGUGUGAAGUACUGUCUUCUUCUAUACAUGGUGUCUUAGUUACUGGUCUAUUGCUAUUUCUAUGGCCAAGGAUAGAUGUGUAUGUGUGUGUAAAUUAAGUUUUUCAAAACCUAUUUUCAGUGAUGGUUCUUAAAUGCUUUAACUACCUUUUAGCCCACCACCCACCAGAGGUAGUAGGAAAGAAAGGAUAAGGGGGAGGUGGACCUGUCUAGAAAGGUUCUUUGGAGCAACUCCCAUCUGUGCUGUCUGGAAAUCAGCAGUUCAGUUCACAGAUCAGCAGGCAGCCAUAGCUUGACCUACUUGCAAACACUUCACGGAUACACCAGCAGUCCAAUUCAUUAGAGUCAGGAUAGCAAACACGAGUCAACAGUGGUGGCAGAGACAGCCAGGCCUCAGCCUUGGUACCAGUUAGCAGGAGGGACCAGGAGGAACACCAGGAGAAGUUCUUGGCUGUGCCUCUCUCAGGAAAUUGAAGAUGAGCAAAGACUCGAGACCCACAGGCAUUGCACAGCUAGCUGUGCCAGCAAGCCUAGCUCAGCCUGUCACUGCCCAUCGAGUUCUAGUUACACAAGUUCUAGCUUCACAGGUCUGCCUUAGUCUUUCACGUAUGUCUACUUCAGGAAAACACUCCUUCACGUGUGUGCCCCAGCAUAUCCAUGUAUGUAUGUAUGUAUGUAUGUAUGUAUGCGUGUGUGUAUGCAUAUGCAUAUGUAUAUGUAUAUAUAUAUGGAUUUAAUUGGGGGUUCGUUUACAAUUUGAAACUUUAAAGCUCACUCCUAGUGACAAACUUCCUCCAAUAAGACCAACCCCACUCAAACAAGGCCCACCUUCUAAACCUUCUAAUUCUUAAAUAUUUGAGCCUACAGGGGCUGGCUUUUUUUUUUUUUUUGGUUUUUGGUUUUUUGAGACAGGGUUUCUCUGCAUAUCCCUGGCUGUCCUGGAACUCACUCUGUAGACCAGGCUGGCCUCGAACUUAGAAGUCUGCCUGCCUCUGCCUCCCAAGUGCUGCUCGACUGUUUAUUUUAUUUGUAUGAAUGCUUCGCUUGCAUCUAUGUCUGUGCACCACGUGUGCCCUGCGUGUUUGAAUGUCAGAAGAGAGUGUCAAUCUCCUGGAACUGGAGUUGUGGAUGGAUGGG
rnacentral:lncRNA from 1 species